rnacentral:lncRNA from 1 species
CUGGUCAAGACAUAGUCAACAUCACAUCUGCCUUCACUCUGCCAUGCUCAUGAUAAUAAGGGACUGAGCCUCUGGAACAGUUGCUGACCCUCUGGACCUAUGGGCCAAAGCCUGCCAGUCUCAGGACUGAUGCAACACAGGGUGGUGGCCAUGCUCUCCUGAGAUUCAUUCAGAAAGCUAAGACCUAAACUAACUGUGAAGCCAAGAACAGCUGAAGCCAUGAUGGGAAUGAAGUCCUAGAAUCAUAAGUAAAUGUUCCUCUAGUUAAACUUAAGAUGGUGCUGAUUCAUACACUGGAGUGACUAAUCUCAAAUGCACAGCUGCAUUUGUCUUCAGGAGUUUGGUGUGAGUACCCAAGUAAGAAAGGCUGUGAAAUAAAAUGUCUCAUAAAAACUUUCAAGCCAACCCACAGGAACAGUUGGUCUGAACAAGGGAGAGCACAUCAACCCCAUAUGCUAUCUGGGAGGCCAGUACAAGACUGAUCCAG